rnacentral:rRNA from 1 species
GAUGAACGCUGGCGGCGUGCCUAAUACAUGCAAGUCGAGCGAACGGACGAGAAGCUUGCUUCUCUGAUGUUAGCGGCGGACGGGUGAGUAACACGUGGAUAACCUACCUAUAAGACUGGGAUAACUUCGGGAAACCGGAGCUAAUACCGGAUGAUAUUUUGAACCGCAUGGUUCAAAAGUGAAAGACGGUCUUGCUGUCACUUAUAGAUGGAUCCGCGCUGCAUUAGCUAGUUGGUAAGGUAACGGCUUACCAAGGCAACGAUGCAUAGCCGACCUGAGAGGGUGAUCGGCCACACUGGAACUGAGGCACGGUCCAGACUCCUACGGGAGGCAGCAGUAGGGAAUCUUCCGCAAUGGGCGAAAGCCUGACGGAGCAACGCCGCGUGAGUGAUGAGGGUCUUCGGAUCGUAAAACUCUGUUAUUAGGGAAGAACAUAUGUGUAAGUAACUGUGCACAUCUUGACGGUACCUAAUCAGAAAGCCACGGCUAACUACGUG